UAAAAGUCGUAACAAGGUUUCCGUAGGUGAACCUGCGGAAGGAUCAUUAUAGAAUAAACUUGAACGGGCUGUUGCUCUCCUAUGGUGCACGCCUGUCAUAUUUAUCUCUCCCACUGUGCACAUUUUGUAGACCUGGUGUUUGGGAACUGCUUACAGUAGUCGGCUUUGCCCUUUGCCUUUGCCAGUCUAUGUUAUUUUAUCACAAACCUCUGAAUGUUUUGAAUUUUUUAUGAUGGAAAUUAUAUACAACUUUCAGCAACGGAUCUCUUGGCUCUCGCAUCGAUGAAGAACGCAGCGAAAUGCGAUAAGUAAUGUGAAUUGCAGAAUUCAGUGAAUCAUCGAAUCUUUGAACGCAUCUUGCGCUUCUUGGUAUUCCAAGGAGCAUGCCUGUUUGAGUGUCAUUAAAGUUCUCAAAACCCACAUGGUGGAAUUUUGGAUAUGGGGGUUGCAGGCUUUUUGAAGUCGGCUCCUCUGAAAUGUAUCAGUGGUAUCUGUGUGGAACUACAGGUGUGAUAAAUGAAAUCUAUGCCUCGUCUCUCACUGUGCUGCUUCUGGCGGAGUUGGAUUGACAAAUUUGACCUCAAAUCAGGUAGGACUACCCGCUGAACUUAAGCAUAUCAAUAAGCGGAGGAAAAGAAACUAACAAGGAUUCCCCUAGUAACUGCGAGUGAAGCGGGAAAAGCUCAAAUUUGAAAUCUGAUGGUUCUUGACCGUCCGAGUUGUAAUCUAGAGAA
rnacentral:rRNA from 1 species